rnacentral:rRNA from 1 species
AUGCGGGUAAUUGCAUACGACAUUCCGGUUGACUAUGCCGAUGAGUACCUUCGCAUUGGUGAAGAUAGUACAAUUAAGUCAGUGCGUAGGUUUUCCAAAGUGAUCAUCCGUGUCUUUGGUCCUGAAUAUCUUCAGGCACCCAACGAGGAAGACACAAAAAAGUUGAUGACAUCAAGUGAGAGAAGAGGUUGGCCUGGCAUGUUAGGAAGCAUUGAUUGUAUGCAUUGGACUUGA